UUGCAUAUCCAAAAAGCGGAGGAAAAGAAACCAACAGGGAUUGCCUCAGUAACGGCGAGUGAAGCGGCAACAGCUCAAAUUUGAAAUCUGGCUCUUUUAGGGUCCGAGUUGUAAUUUGUAGAAGAUGCUUUGGGUGAGGCUCCGGUCUAAGUUCCUUGGAACAGGACGUCAUAGAGGGUGAGAAUCCCGUAUGUGACUGGUUGCCUUCGUCCGUGUAAAGCUCUUUCGACGAGUCGAGUUGUUUGGGAAUGCAGCUCAAAAUGGGUGGUAAAUUUCAUCUAAAGCUAAAUAUUGGCCAGAGACCGAUAGCGCACAAGUAGAGUGAUCGAAAGAUGAAAAGCACUUUGGAAAGAGAGUUAAACAGUACGUGAAAUUGUUGAAAGGGAAGCGCUUGCAACCAGACUUGCACGCGGUUAAUCAUCUGGUGUUCUCACCGGUGCACUUGACCGCGUUCAGGCCAGCAUCGGUUUAGGUGGUGGGAUAAAGGCCUUGGGAAUGUAGCUUCUUUCGGGGAGUGUUAUAGCCCUCGGUGCAAUGCCGCCUACCUGGACCGAGGACCGCGCUCGGCUAGGAUGCUGGCGUAAAUGGCG
rnacentral:rRNA from 1 species